rnacentral:rRNA from 1 species
AGUGAACUCUGGCGGUAGGCCUAACACAUGCAAGUCGAACGGCAGCACAGUAAGAGCUUGCUCUUACGGGUGGCGAGUGGCGGACGGGUGAGGAAUACAUCGGAAUCUACUUUUUCGUGGGGGAUAACGUAGGGAAACUUACGCUAAUACCGCAUACGACCUACGGGUGAAAGCAGGGGAUCUUCGGACCUUGCGCGAUUGAAUGAGCCGAUGUCGGAUUAGCUAGUUGGCGGGGUAACGGCCCACCAAGGCGACGAUCCGUAGCUGGUCUGAGAGGAUGAUCAGCCACACUGGAACUGAGACACGGUCCAGACUCCUACGGGAGGCAGCAGUGGGGAAUAUUGGACAAUGGGCGCAAGCCUGAUCCAGCCAUACCGCGUGGGUGAAGAAGGCCUUCGGGUUGUAAAGCCCUUUUGUUGGGAAAGAAAAGCAGCAGGUUAAUACCCCGCUGUUCUGACGGUACCCAAAGAAUAAGCACCGGCUAACUUCGUG